rnacentral:rRNA from 1 species
GAUGAACGCUGGCGGCGUGCCUAAUGCAUGCAAGUCGAGCGAACGGACGAGAAGCUUGCUUCUCUGAUGUUAGCGGCGGACGGGUGAGUAACACGUGGAUAAUCUACCUAUAAGACUGGGAUAACUUCGGGAAACCGGAGCUAAUACCGGAUAAUAUUUUGAACCGCAUGGUUCAAAAGUGAAAGACGGUCUUGCUGUCACUUAUAGAUGGAUCCGCGCUGCAUUAGCUAGUUGGUAAGGUAACGGCUUACCAAGGCAACGAUGCAUAGCCGACCUGAGAGGGUGAUCGGCCACACUGGAACUGAGACACGGUCCAGACUCCUACGGGAGGCAGCAGUAGGGAAUCUUCCGCAAUGGGCGAAAGCCUGACGGAGCAACGCCGCGUGAGUGAUGAAGGUCUUCGGAUCGUAAAACUCUGUUAUUAGGGAAGAACAUAUGUGUAAGUAACUGUGCACAUCUUGACGGUACCUAAUCAGAAAGCCACGGCUAACUACGUG